rnacentral:snoRNA from 1 species
GUUGAGGUCUAUCCAGGUGGGGCUUUUUCUGUAGCCACACAUCAUGGGAAAUACCUCAUAGAGUAACACUGUGGUUUCGCUUUACUCUCACAGGACUAUUUGUUAGAUCUGUGUUCCCAGGAACUACGAGACAGUU